GUUUAAUUUCCUAAACAAUUGUGUUCAGGCAUAGCAACCUCUAUGAAAACAUUUGGGGUGUUUUGCUUGUGAUGAAUAGUUGAAGAAGUGAAAUCUUUGACUCUGAAAUGUUGUUUCUCCUUAUCAGGUACGUGUGCAAGGUCAGCCCGGCAGCAAGAGCCUGGACGCAGAGCCGGGGCCAGCCCACCCAGUGGAGGCGGACGCAGCCUCAGCAGCACCCAUCCAGCAGAAAGUAGCCGAUACCUGUGAUGCAGAAUUUGCGAAGGGCAUUUUAUGAACAAAUGCGGCAUCCAGAACACAAUGAUGAAGGAGCAUUGUUCACAAAAUGCAACCGUGCACACGCCACUUGGAUAUCGGAGCACUGGUGGCACAACAAUUAAAAACCCAGGUUUCGUUUGCUCCCACGCACUGCCAGACUGUGCCGCGUCCCUUUCCCGUUCAGCCCUGCAAGAGGCCAUCACGGUAGGAAGAGCGUUCCUUGCUUUAUUCAAAUCAACACACUACAGGAUUCAGAUGCUCUCUGCACUAAGAACAAUUGGCAACCUUUUGCACCCUAAAUGCCCCUGGAG
ensembl:lincRNA